GAAAACACUGGGGCUUCUGUGGUCUUCAGAAGAGGAAUGAAGGCAAGUCAAGUAACUUCAACAAAGGGUCUACUUACUGUGAGCAGUGGGAUCCAAGCUCUGUGGGAGGGGUCCGAGGAGCUUUUCACCCACCCCAUGGUCACUUUGAAUCUCCAGGAGAUCAGCACUUCUACACCCAAUGAUCCAGGGAUCUGGAUGGAUGGACUGCAGUGCCAGAGAGGACCGAAGAAUCUGCCUUCUUCUGACCACCUUGAUCCAUAA